rnacentral:rRNA from 1 species
GCCGUGAAUACGUUCCCGGGCCUUGUACACACCGCCCGUCACAUCACGAAAGUGAGUUGUACUAGAAGUCGCCGCGCUAACCGCAAGGAGGCAGGCGCCCAAGGUAUGACCCAUGAUUGGGGUGAAGUCGUAACAAGGUAGCCGUAGGAGAACCUGCGGCUGGAUCACCUCCUUUCUAA